UUACUCGCUUUUUAAAUUUGUUCCUUCAAAUACAAAAUCCAAGAUCAAGUGAAUAGCACCAGCAAAAUCAAAAAGUAAAACUAAAACUAAAAUAGUUGCUAAAUUACAAGUUCCCGAUGAGGAAAACAAAAACUUAUGGUGUCUAAGUGCACACGCAAGUGUACGCGGUCUACCAAGUAGUAAAAUCUCAUUAUAAAAGUCAAGUAUAGAUCGCAUAUGGACUUGUGUUAGACAUCUAUCUAAUUUAAUUUCAACUAUCACGAUUAAGCAAGUUCUAAAGUAACUGAAAGAGUUUGAGAAUUAUCACUGAAAGUAAAGUAAGCAAUACUGCAAAUUAAAGGUCCUUGAACAACAAUAGGGAAAACCUAGGGUUAAGACACUACGAACAAUUAUACUUCGCUAUAUAACUUCAUUGGUUAGGUUAAUUAUAUUUUUUGUUGGUCCUCGGGGUUGAGACUAUUACUAUGGCCUUCCGAACCUCUACUAUUUCACUUAGCCCUACAACUACAUCAUUGAGCGGGGAUGCAAGAACUAAGUUAAAUGCAUUUAUAUUCUUCCAGUGUAUGAUCCAUAUAGGGUUCAUUAUGUAUAUUCCUAUUCUAAACACAAAUCAUAACUUUAUUCAAUUGAAAGAUUACAAUCCGAUUCCAUCUAUCCUACGUUCUACCCUAUCAUUCAUCCUUCCGGGUUCAUAAUAAAUUUAUGCAUGUAUUACAAGGGCCUUGAAUCCUUAAAAUAGUGAUAAAAAGGAUAAAAAAAAAUUAACAAUGAUAAAUAACCAAAAUCAAUUCAAUUAAUAACAAAAGUACUCAUGUUUUUGGCCUUAACCCCCCAAAAAGGGUGUUUAGCAGCUCAUGAACAUACACGUAAUAAUAAUAGAUGAAUCCAAGUUAUAAUCCAUCAGUAAACUAAAGUAAAUAAAGUAAAACACUAAUUGAAGCAUUAUCUAGCAUAUAUUUAAGCCCCAAGGUCUUCCAAGGUUGUUAGAAUUGAGUUUAAGUAUCGCUGCCUAAUUUUAACAUAGGGGCGCGCCACGCCCUUAUCGCGUGGCCUAGGGUCUGUGCACUCCAAUAUCAUGGAUUCACACUAUUUUGUGACAUAUUUGGUUACAACCAAGGGCUUUACAUGGCUUUAUCACUUCAUCUAGGUAGUGUGGCACGCCAAUGACUCCAAAAAAGUCCAACUUUGCACAAUGUUUGUCCCAUGCGUCUGUUCUUCUAAUCCAAGUUUUGUGGUGUUGUUUCUUUUUGAUUUCUAGAUUGUGUAAUAUACUUUAUCGUCUUUAUCAACUCACUAAUAAUCCGAUAAAAUCAGACACUAUAAAUUAGAGCUCAAAACAACACGCAAUCCAACACAACGAACUAGAAAGGGACAUAGCUCAAGCUAAGAGUACUAAUUUUCGCAUUUGAUCUUUAACUUAGUGUUUUGACUCCAAACUCACUAUAAACAUAUCUUAAACACUAUAAAUACAUAAAUCAACACUUAAAUACUCAUUUACAAAAUGAUUACAUCAUUAUGUACACAAGAAGUCCUCAAAACUAAGUUAAAUUAGCUCAAAUAACAACAAUAAGGUGCAUAAAUCCUCCUCAGAUCAACAAGCAUCAAUAUUAAUAAAAUUUCUCAAUCUUAUCCGAAGGCCACAUCUCUUCGUCAAACUAUUACUUUUCAUACUGUUCCCAUCAUGACAAUUCAACCCCUCCUGGGUGUAAUAAUGCAUGCAACACCCCAAAUCUCAAUAAAGAAGAAGGUCCUUCCUAAACUCAAGUCAUUCUUUGACAAAAGCCCCAAUUCAAGUAUCACAAUAUCAGAUUUUUAUCAUAACUACUUCAACCUAGUAUUUUGCGCAACCUAAGCCAGCCUUUACACUUACCGUUGAAGCUCUUCUAUAUAAAGCUUGAAGUUGAGUACUCUCGAUCACCUUAUUCCAUUAUGGUCUUUUAAUACAUGGGAACAAUGAAGGUAGAGCCUCAAUUGAUAGAAAAAAAAUUCAGAAUUUCUUGGGGUUCUGUAUUUUAAAAAAAAAAAGGUAGAAAAAGAAAUAAAUAUAUUAAUAAUUUAAUUCUUAGUCGGCAUAAUAAAUAGGAGGGAAAAAAUUAAAUUUAGUUCUUCUAAACUUGUGACAUAUCCACUAAAAUUUCCGUAGUCAGGUGUAGUGAUGUUUUGCACUAACAACUAAAAUCAGAGUAGUAAAUAUAGCAACUAGAUGGGUGUUCAGUUAAUUAAAGAGUUGAACAUAAUCAAAAAGUCAUUGUCCUAUUGAACUAAUUAGGUAAAGGUCCACUUUUCUUGCGUUUCUCUUGCUUUAUAGGCUAGACCAGGUCAUUGGCUAAGGUUGGUUUGUCUAGCUUCCCUUUUUACCUGCUUUCGAGUUAGCACUACAUUGUUUUAAAAAUACUUGAUUAGUAAUAUUUUUUGUAUUUACAUUAAACUUUUUAUGUUUAGCACCAAAUUCCAAUUUUAGUGGUUAAGCAAACUAUUCCUUUUUCCACAUCAUCUAAUUAACAGCUUUUGAUAUAUUUAUAAAAAGUUGAAAAUUAAAAAGUUCAUGAGAGCAUAGGGAUAAAGUGAUACAUGUCCCUACGUUCAGCAUGGAAUAAAUAAGUUUAUCUAUGGGACUAUAUUGCUCAAUGCGGAUCUAUGAAUUAAGACAUAUGAGUUUUUACAAUAAUUUUAGAUUAUUUUAUAAUAGAAAUUGAGUUUAUAAUUAAAUAUUUAUAAAUUUUUCUUGAUGAAAAAUUACUUAUACUCUCAAUUUUGCUUUAAAAAUCAAACUCCUCCUCACGUGUAAAUAAUAGAACAUUCUUCCUUAUCUUUUUUUAGGGGGGUUAAUCUUCCUCCCUUAUCAAAUGCAAUAUCUAUUUUACCCAUAAUAUUUUCAUUAUGCAUAUAUGUAAUAUUUUCUUAUAUUAUAUAUAAUAUUUAUCUUUUAAAACUAUGUAUUUAUAGAUUUUUAUAUAAAUUAUUGGCCCUUUAAUGAAUUUAUCACAAAAUCUAAAGUUAUUUUUGUGAUUAUUAUUUUUAUAUUAUAUGCAUUAAGUAGGAAUAUAUGUAUUACAUAUGUGUGUAAAUUUAAGAUCCACUUCUCCCUUAUUCUUUUAUUGUCUAGGUAGAUUAACGAGGUUUGAUUGUCAUAAAUGAAAUAUUUUUCUAUUUGGGGAUUUAGCUACACAAAACAAAACAAGGUCAAGCUGUGGGAGAGUUAAAGUUGAAGUUGAUCUAUUAGGGGAUUUUCCUAAAGGGAUUAAUAUUGGGAUGAGGAAAAAGAUAGGAGAAGCUAUAGAGAAGUGGAUUCACAUCAAAUAUGAUUAUGUGCCCAAAUAGUGUAAGGAAUGCAAACUAUAGGGGCAUAAUGAGAAAGAAUGCUAUGUCAGUCAUCCUGAGUUAUAUCAAAAGAAAGACAAUGGGAAGGUAGACGAGCAAGAGAAUACGAAGUCGUAGAAAGGAGAAAAUAGGAACAAAGAAGGAUUAGCAAGUAAGGAAGAAAAAGGUAAGGCCACGGUAACCGAGGAAGAAGAAUUUCAACAACAAAAGAGGAAGCAGCUGAAAAGAAGAAGAAAUUAUGGAGAAAGACGGGAUAUGAGAUGGAAUUAGAAGGUUAUGGACUCAGAAGGUCCAUAAUCAAAAGGUUCCCACAACUAAAGAUCCAUAUAUAGCAGUAAAUAACAAGUUUGAAGCACUUGAGAAGAAAGAUAUAGAAGCUAAUUCUAACAAAGAGAAUCCAUAGGGUAUUAAUAAAGAAAUAAUUGGAAAGGAACAAAAUACUCAUGAAGAUAGGCAUACUCUGAAUAGGAACAAGAAGAAUGACAACAGGGCAUUGACUCCACAAAACUACAUUAGUACUUCCACCAAAAAAGGAGAUUUACAUAAAGAGUUACAAAGUUCAGUAAGAGAUCAGGGAAGAUAUAGUGCAGAUCAUGACACUGUUAAUUCAGUUAAUACUAUGCAUUAUCAGGUAGAAGGAAAAGAAGUUGUAGUAAAUGGGAACAUUAAUAAAGAUCAUGUUGCGGAGAAGUCAGAAAAUAAAGUGGAAAGAAGAAGAGAGGUUCCUAAAAUUCAGAAUCUAACACAGUAGGAGAAACAACAUAAGCAAGACCAUGAAGAAGAUGCAGACAUGGAAGCUAAUAUAGAUCAAAUUUGAAGGAAUGGGGAUUUAUCUCUGAGAAAAAUUGGCCAAUUAAAAGGUAGGAAUAGAAAAGACUACAAAAAUAUCGGUGACAAGUCAUAAAGUAAUACAAGGACUAAGUCAGGCCUCAAAUCUAGUAGUGAUCAAUUAUUAAUAAGGUGUUAUUCUAGAAAAUUAGGUCUGUUAGAACUCAAAUCUCAUUUGAGAGACUAAUAGACCUUCAUAGAAGGAAUCAUUACUCUUACAUUGCUUUAAUGGAACCUUUUCAAAGCCUAUCAAAAUUGGAUAAAUACAGAAGAAGACUAGGUUUAGCAAAUGCUAAAACAAAUUAUUCAGAUAAAAUUUGGGUCUUUUAGGAUGAUGAAUAGGAAGAAAUUAAAGCCACAAAUUCUAUACAACAAUUAACUAUAGAAUAAAAAUUGAUAGUAGGAUUUGAUUUCUUUAAAGUAAUUGUACUAUAUGCUAGAUUUAGUCAUUUAGAGAGAUUAGAGUUGUGGGAGGAUUUGGAGAAUAUUGCUAGUAAUACUCACAUUCCUUGUCUUAUUGGUGGUGAUUUCAAUGUUAUCAUGAAUGAGUCUGAAAAAUUAAGAGGUCUCCCAGUGACACAACAAGAAACUCUUGAUUUUUCUCAGUGUAUGAACUCUUGUGCAUUAAAUGAAUAAAGAUACACAGGAAGCAGGUUCACUUAGUAGAAUGAGGGAAUUCUAGAUGACUGUACGUUUAUAAGAUUGGACAAGGUUUUUGGUAAUUAUGAUCUUACGCAGAUUAUAUCUAAUUGUGAAGUUCAUCAUCUCAUCAGACAGGGUUCAGAUCAUGCACCUCUACAUAUCAUAUGUAAUACUGCACAAUCGCAUGUGAGAAAAUCUUUUAGGUUCUUAAAUUUUUGGACUAAGCAUAAAGAUUUUUAGGGGGUAGUGUAGGAGUCUUGGAAGGAAAACAUCACUGGAUCUCAAUUUCAUGUAGUACAUGAAAAGUUGAAAAGGUGAAAUCAACACUUGCUAUAUGGAGUAGGGAGAUUUUCGGAGAUAUUUUCAAAAAAUAACCACUUUAGAAGAUGUUAUAAAGGUAAAAGAAGAAUAGAUAGAGAUAUACCCAACUCCAAAAAUAGAAAAAAACUAAGUAAAGCUGAGGCAGAUUUAAAAAGGUUGAUAAAGAUAGAGGAAGAUUUUUGGAAACAAACUGCAGGGAUGAAAUAAUUUAAAAAUAUCGAUAUAAAUAAAAAAUUCUUUCACCCAUAUAUAAAAGGAAGGAGGAGAAGGUUGCAGGUUAUAGAAAUUCAGACAAGGCAGGGGGAUAUUAUCAUAUUAGCUCAAAAUAUGGGAGAGGAGGCAGUGCAGGUUUUCAUAGAGCAAUUUAAAGAGACUCAGGUUAUUGUUAAUUAUGAAAUAUUUGGAUAUAUCAAGAAAAGUAUUUCUAAGGAUCAAAAUGACAGAAUGGAAAGAAUGCUUGAAAAGUAAUACAUCAAGAAAAUUGUUUUCUUUUUAAAUAGGGAGAGUGCAAGUGGUCCUGAUGAUUUUUCAGGUCAAUUUUUCAGUUUUGUUGGAGUAUAGUUAGAGAAGACAUUAUUAAUUUAGUGAAAGAUUUCUUUUGUGGAGGUGAAUUACCUAGGUACAUCACUCAUACUAAUCUUGAGCUUGUUUCAAAGAAAGAAGUGGUGAACACCUAUGGUGAUCUAAGACCCAUCAGUCUUAGCACUUUUGUUAAUAAAAUUAAAUCCAAGCUGCUCCAUAUGAGAAUUAUGGAAGUGCUUUCUAAUAUUAUUUUCAAUAAUCAGGCAGGCUUUGUUAAAGGAAUAUGCAUAAUAGAAAAUGUUUUCUAGCUUAGGAGAUUAUCAGAGAUAUUAACAGAAGAAAAAAGUUUCAUAAUGUGGUGGUGAAAUCGGAUAUGGCAAAGGCUUAUGAUAGGGUCUCUUGGAAAUAUCUUGUUGAGGUUUUGAGAAGUUUAGUUUCUCUGAAAGAAUUAUUAGUAUGGUGGUCAUAUUGAUUAGUAACAAUUGGUAUUCAAUGAUCAUGCAUGUCCAGUCUUAUGGUUUCCUUCAGUAAUCAAAAGGAUUAAUAUAGGGAGACCCUUUGUCACCAACCUUGUUUAUUAUCUCAGCUGAAGUCUUAUCAAGGAAUUUAAAUGAGUUGUUCAAUGAUCCAGAUUUUAAAGUAUAUAGAAUGCCUAAGUGGAUCCCGAACAUUAAUCACUUAUCAUGAUGAUACUAUCUUAUUUUGCUUUGGACAACUAUCAUCAAUGAAGAAGAUGGUGACAGUUUUGAGAAAGUAUGAGUACACCUCUGAUCAAAUGAGCAACUUAGACAAAAUUUUGAUCUAUUUGUAUGAGAAGGUUCCCACAGCUGUGAGCAACAACAUAAAGAGAAUAAUGGGAUAAAAUAAGAUAAGUUUCCUUUUACUUAUUCGGUUUGUCUAAUUUUUUAUGGAAGAAAGAAUAAGGAAUAUUAUGAUGAGCUGAUGAAAAAGGUGAUAAAUAGAUCAAAUUCAUGGCAGAAUAGGCUACUUUCUUAUGGGGAAGAUAUAUUUUAAUUACUCAUGUAUUACAUUCUAUACCCAUUUACAUUCUAUCUACUAUAAAUCCUCCAGUAAGUGUAGUUAAUCAACUACACAAAAUUUUUGCAAAGUUCUUUUGGGGUAAUCCCACUGGUUCAAAAAAUAAGCAUUGGGUCUCUUGGGAGUUAAUGUGUUUCCCAAAAAAUAAAGGUGGACUUAGAUUUAGAUCUUUACAUAAUAUGUCCAAGGAACUUUUUGCAAAACUCUGGUGGAACUUCAGAACGUCCAUAUCAACUAUGUGGAGUUCUUUUGUGUGGAAGAAAUAUUGCAAGAAGUUGUAUCCUUUAUUAACUAAAGGAACUAGAGCAUCACAUCUAUGGAGAAAAAUGAUUUCUAUAAGAGAGGAGGUGAAACAUAAUAUAUAGAGGCAGGUAAAAACUUGUAAUUUAAGUUUUUGAUAUGAUAAUUGGACAAAAUAAAGUACUUUGUAUUAUGUGGAAGGGGAGACAUUUCAAGAUGAGAAAAUAGAGGUGAAGAAUUUUAUCAGAAAUGGAGAGUGGGGCAAAUAAUUGUUGUUAUCAUAUUUAUCUGAAGAGAUGGUUGAUUUGAUUUUAGAAAUUGUAAAGCCUAUACUAGAGAAACAUCAGAAUGAUAAACUAUGGUGGAUGGGUAGCACAAGUGGCCAAUUUACAGUGAAGUUUGUCUGGGAGAUCAUCAAAAUGAAAAAAGAGAAAAAAAGAGAUUAAGAUUUCAUCUAGAACAAAGGUUUACUUUUUAAGUACAAUUCCUCCUUAUGAAGGGUAUAGUUGAGAAGGAUUCCUACAGAUGACAACUUAAAGAGAAUGAAGAUCUAAUUGGUAUCAAGAUGCUGGUGUUGUGAAAAUAGGAGGGAAGAGACUAUGACCCAUGUUUUACUAACAACCCCCUUGGCCUUAUGGCUUUAGAGGCUGUUUGCUCAUUUUGCAGGGAUACAGGUGGACAACAUACAAUUACAAUAGAUGAUUAUAUUAUGGUGGAAAAAGGAGUCAACAUCAAAGAUAAACAUGAUUUUCAGUGCUAUACCAGCUAUAAUCAUGUGGAACAUAUGAAAGGGGGGAAUUCUAUUAAACGUGGAGGUUCCAUUCAUUUUAAGGGAUGGUUUUGCAAGUCCAGGAGAUAAUGAAGAAGAUGAUCAAGACUUUGUAUCCAUGGAUAAAGUUGAAAUAUUGGCCAUGGCCAGAAGUGGUCAAUAAUAUGAGUACAUUUAGGCCAAAAUUGUAAUAUCAAAAGGUGUUAUGGAUGAAACCAGAAUCCAUGCAGUUAAAAUGCAACAUGGAUGAAGCUUGUAGAGAAAAUUCAGGGAUGAGUAAAUAUGGGUUUUGCAUAAGAAAAGAUAAAGGAGAUAUAGUGUAUGCUAGAGCUAAAGGCAUGGGACUGGGUACAAACACUGAAGUAGAAUAGAUUGCUAUUAAAAAGGCUUUAGAGUACUGUUAUGAGAAAGAUUUUAAAAAUUCCAUCUUACAAACUGACUCGUUAAGUCUUAAGCAAAUGAUACUAAAGCAGUGAAAAAUUUCUUGGGAGCUAGUAGUUAUUAUUGAGGAGAUUAGAUAAUUCAUUUAGAAACUAAAUAUCACUAUCACACAUAUAUUUAGGGAAGGGAACACAGUGGCCGAUUCUUUAGAAAAUAAGGUGAUGGAUGGAAAAGACAUGCAAGAAUAUCAUUCUUUUCAGGAUAUAUACUAAAUAUUAAUAAAGAUCAUAUUUCACAUAUCAGAAUAAAGACAAGAAGGAUAAUUCAAUAAUGACUAUCAGAAGCAGCAUACAUAUUUACAAUAAAGUAGCAAGUUCAAGCAUAGUUCAACAAACAAAAGAAGAGGAGAAUAAAGAGUACAGUAAAAGGAUAUUAAAAGUAUACCUGGAAGAAGUAUUAUAGCUGUGCUAACGACAGUUAGAAUUAAAAUCCUAGCUAUCAAAAAUCUUCACAAAAAAUGGAGGGGUAGGGAUUUGCUCCAGCAUCCAAAACCACCAGAUAAAGAGAAAGAGGUUUUCAUUACUCAAAACCUGGGUGAACUGGAAGUAGUUUGGCUAUGUGAGAGAUACCCAAGACCACCUGUACACAGAAAGGAAAUAUCAGAUUGGAAAUGACCAGUACCUGAUAGAAGUGAAGCUGAUAGAAAAAGUUCAGUUAAGAUCCACUAUUGAUUCAGCUGGUACAGAGCCCAGAGAAGGAGAAAUUGAAGCUUUGAAUUUAUCUGCAGCACUCCGGCGGCAUUAUUGCAAACAACUUUAAAAGAAAGGGAAGGGAACUUUGUACUCUUGUCUCAAAC
rnacentral:lncRNA from 1 species